rnacentral:rRNA from 1 species
CGGGUGAGUAAUGUAUGGGGAUCUGCCUGAUGGCGGGGGAUAACUACUGGAAACGGUAGCUAAUACCGCAUAACGUCGCAAGACCAAGAGGGGGACCUUCGGGCCUCUUGCCAUCGGAUGUGCCCAGAUGGGAUUAGCUAGUAGGUGGGGUAACGGCUCACCUAGGCGACGAUCCCUAGCUGGUCUGAGAGGAUGACCAGCCACACUGGAACUGAGACACGGUCCAG